rnacentral:piRNA from 1 species
UUGAAGGCUAUGACGAACCUUC